rnacentral:rRNA from 1 species
CCUGAUCCAGCAAUGCCGCGUGAGUGAAGAAGGCCUUCGGGUUGUAAAGCUCUUUUGUCAGGGAAGAAACGGUCCGGGCUAAUAUCCUGGGCUAAUGACGGUACCUGAAGAAUAAGCACCGGCUAACUACGUGCCAGCAGCCGCGGUAAUACGUAGGGUGCGAGCGUUAAUCGGAAUUACUGGGCGUAAAGCGUGCGCAGGCGGUUGUGCAAGACAGAUGUGAAAUCCCCGGGCUCAACCUGGGAAUUGCAUUUGUGACUGCACGGCUAGAGUGUGUCAGAKGGGGGUAGAAUUCCACGUGUAGCAGUGAAAUGCGUAGAGAUGUGGAGGAAUACCGAUGGCGAAGGCAGCCCCCUGGGAUAACACUGACGCUCAUGCACGAAAGCGUGGGGAGCAAACAGGAUUAGAUACCCUGGUAGUCCACGCCCUAAACGAUGUCAACUAGUUGUCGGGUCUUAAUUGACUUGGUAACGCAGCUAACGCGUGAAGUUGACCGCCUGGGGAGUACNGUCGCNAGAUUAAAACUCAAA